GAGAUUUCCAUACUGUGGGCACUUAUUUGACAAGAAUGAGGAGAAACAUGAAUUCUUGGCAAAUAGUGCCCUUAGUAUGAAAUUCUG
rnacentral:pre_miRNA from 1 species